UACGUAGGGUGCAAGCGUUGUCCGGAAUUAUUGGGCGUAAAGAGCUCGUAGGCGGUUUGUCGCGUCUGCUGUGAAAACUGGAGGCUCAACCUCCAGCCUGCAGUGGGUACGGGCAGACUAGAGUGCGGUAGGGGAGAUUGGAACUCCUGGUGUAGCGGUGGAAUGCGCAGAUAUCAGGAGGAACACCGGUGGCGAAGGCGGGUCUCUGGGCCGUAACUGACGCUGAGGAGCGAAAGCGUGGGGAGCGAACAGG
rnacentral:rRNA from 1 species